rnacentral:rRNA from 1 species
CAGGCUUAACACAUGCAAGUCGAGGGGCAGCAUGGUCUUAGCUUGCUAAGGCCGAUGGCGACCGGCGCACGGGUGAGUAACACGUAUCCAACCUGCCGUCUACUCUUGGACAGCCUUCUGAAAGGAAGAUUAAUACAAGAUGGCAUCAUGAGUCCGCAUGUUCACAUGAUUAAAGGUAUUCCGGUAGACGAUGGGGAUGCGUUCCAUUAGAUAGUAGGCGGGGUAACGGCCCACCUAGUCUUCGAUGGAUAGGGGUUCUGAGAGGAAGGUCCCCCACAUUGGAACUGAGACACGGUCCAAACUCCUACGGGAGGCAGCAGUGAGGAAUAUUGGUCAAUGGGCGAGAGCCUGAACCAGCCAAGUAGCGUGAAGGAUGACUGCCCUAUGGGUUGUAAACUUCUUUUAUAAAGGAAUAAAGUCGGGUAUGGAUACCCGUUUGCAUGUACUUUAUGAAUAAGGAUCGGCUAACUCCGUGCCAGCAGCCGCGGUAAUACGGAGGAUCCGAGCGUUAUCCGGAUUUAUUGGGUUUAAAGGAAGCGUAGAUGGAUGUUUAAGUCAGUUGUGAAAGUUUGCGGCUCAACCGUAAAAUUGCAGUUGAUACUGGAUAUCUUGAGUGCAGUUGAGGCAGGCGGAAUUCGUGGUGUAGCGGUGAAAUGCUUAGAUAUCACGAAGAACUCCGAUUGCGAAGGCAGCCUGCUAAGCUGCAACUGACAUUGAGGCUCGAAAGUGUGGGUAUCAAACAGGAUUAGAUACCCUGGUAGUCCACACGGUAAACGAUGAAUACUCGCUGUUUGCGAUAUACAGCAAGCGGCCGAGCGAAAGCGUUAAGUAUUCCACCUGGGGAGUACGCCGGCAACGGUGAAACUCAAAGGAAUUGACGGGGGCCCGCACAAGCGGAGGAACAUGUGGUUUAAUUCGAUGAUACGCGAGGAACCUUACCCGGGCUUAAAUUGCAGAUGAAUUACGGUGAAAGCCGUAAGCCGCAAGGCAUCUGUGAAGGUGCUGCAUGGUUGUCGUCAGCUCGUGCCGUGAGGUGUCGGCUUAAGUGCCAUAACGAGCGCAACCCUUGUUGUCAGUUACUAACAGGUUCCGCUGAGGACUCUGACAAGACUGCCAUCGUAAGAUGUGAGGAAGGUGGGGAUGACGUCAAAUCAGCACGGCCCUUACGUCCGGGGCUACACACGUGUUACAAUGGGGGGUACAGAGGGCCGCUACCACGCGAGUGGAUGCCAAUCCCCAAAACCUCUCUCAGUUCGGACUGGAGUCUGCAACCCGACUCCACGAAGCUGGAUUCGCUAGUAAUCGCGCAUCAGCCACGGCGCGGUGAAUACGUUCCCGGGCCUUGUACACACCGCCCGUCAAGCCAUGGGAGCCGGGGGUACCUGAAGUGCGUAACCGCGAGGAGCGCCCUAGGGUAAAACUGGUGACUGGGGCUAAGUCAUAAC